AACACUGUUAACCUGCGGUACCUGCGGAAGGAUCAUUACAGAGUUGCAAAACUCCCUAAACCAUUGUGAACGUUACCUAAACCGUUGCUUCGGCGGGCGGCCCGGGUCCUUCCCGGCGCCCCUCGGCCCUCGCGGGCGCCCGCCGGAGGUAAACCAAACUAUUGCAUUGUAUGGCCUCUCUGAGUCUUCUGUACUGAAUAAGUCAAAACUUUCAACAAUGGAUCUCAGAUCGGAAGAGCA
rnacentral:misc_RNA from 1 species